CUCUCGCCCGUGACAUUUUCUCCAAAUCGGAAGAAAAUCAAGUGUAUGUCGAGCUUUGCCGCAGGCAGCCCUUGGUCUCCGCUUUCAGAUUCGGGGUCCGGGAGCGGAGCGCCCUGCCCGCGGCGGUGCUAAACUCUGGGGCCAGGGUGUGGCCCUCAGCGAGCGCCCUGGGACUGGCCGCCCCGCCGAAGGAUGCCGAGGAUCGGGCAAGGCCGGCGUCCGGUCUGCGCGGGGCGCGGGUGCUCUCCGAAGGCCGCGAGCCACGGGCCUCGCUGCGGGUUCAAGUGCGUCCGGGUUUGGACGUCGCGGCUCCAGGAGUGUGCUCUCUCUCCUGCCCAUCCCCUCCCCGGAGUUCAGCGCAUCCGGGGCCCCGGGGACCCCUCUUCCCGGCCCUCCUGGCCGCGCUGGCCCGCCCGCAUGGGGCCGAGGUUCCUGGCCGACGCGCGAGGGCGCGGGCGGGUACCGGGUUCCCGUUUUUCCCAGGCCCCGAUCCCCGCCCACGCACGAGGCCCCCGGCCCACGCACGAGGCGCCCACGCCCAUCGUGGAGGCUCCGCCUGGAAAAGAAGUCCGACUUCCUCUCCAAGCUGCUCCGAGGGGAAUGGGGAAUCGGCAGGAAAUGACCCGAACUGCCAGCCUGCGCCUUUGCAGCCGGCCCUCGCUUUGCUGAAGACGAGCAGCUCCCACCAAAGUCUUGCCUCCCCUUACCCCGAAAGCCCCGCUCAGGGUCUCACUCUGCCAUCACCCAGGCUGGAGUGUGGUGGCACCAUCAUGGCUCACUGCAGCCUUGAACUCCUGAGCUCAAGUCAUCCUCCCACCUCAGCCUUCCGAGUAGCUGGAACUGCAGGUGUGAGCCACCAUGCCUGGCUGAUUUGUCUUUUUAAAUUUUUUAUAGAGACCGAGUCUCAACUAUAUUGUCCAGGCUGGAAAAGAACUUCUUUCCCUCCAAGUGAUAACCUUUUCCAGACAAGUCAGCUUAAAAACUGACCCAAAGGCCCUGAAGUACACAGUUUUCUUGGAGAAAGAAAAAAAUAAGUGAAAAGGACUUGCUGACUUGCUAAUUCAUUUUGGGGCCUGUGGGUAACAUCAGAAUGGCAAAGCACUUGGGGCUUUUUUCUAAUUUGUAUUUUUUUAAUCUUCUGAGAAAUGACUUUUAUAUGCCAAGAUUCAUUCCAUGAUUAGUUUUUAUGACCAAGUUAUGAACGCUUUUGAAUAUGGGGACCUAGAAUAGAAAUGCUAACCUACCUGCAAGGAGAGCUCUGUGAUUGGCAUCCCCAUCAUGCUGUAACUGACACAAAAUAAACUUAGGGUAAUUGCCGCAUAGUGUAACUUUAAUGUGUGAGCAUACUGUAACAUCUGACAAGCUUCUUGAUCUAGAUCAGCAAUGUGUAACCCAUUCAUUGUUGUCACUCUCAACAAGGCCUUAUGGUCAAACAUCAUCACUCUCACUAAAGAGAUAGUUUACUGAAAUAUACUGAGAUUUUGAAACUGGAGUCAAGAGGUAGCACACUGUUUUAUGUUGAUCCAUUUAAUGGUCCUUGACAGCCAAUAAAAAGACACUGGAAGAAUACGUGAAUGCAGUAAUUGUUAAUAGGUCUAUUGAUAAUAUUUUCAACACCAGGUAGGGAGGGAGACAGGGAGGAGGAGGAAAGGAAGGAAGGGAGGAAAGGAGGAAGGGAGGAAGGGAGGGAGGGAGGGAGGAAGGGAGGGAGGGAAUGCUCUGACAUCUUACUCCAGAAAUAGAGCUGUUUUUAUAUAUUUUACUCCAUUAUUUUGGAUAUCAAUACUGACCAUACUGAGGUCUGUGGUCAUUUACACAGUUGGCCAAAUUUCACUGAAGUUUGUUUUUCAGAUUCUACUAGGUGUUUUCAUGUGGCAGUUGCCUAAUUUUUUACUAUAUUUAAGAUUUGUCCUUACGUUUUGGAUAUUCUGCCUUUGUUCUUCACAAAUGCUCAACUGUCAUAGAGGGUCUUCUGAUUUUUUUGGCAUGGGGUCACUCAACUAAAUUAUAGCUAGAUAAUAACUCCAAAGCCUAGUUCUCCUGGCUUUCCCUGCUGACCUACUCAUGUCCAGAUGUUCUCAUUUAUAAAGUGUGAGUCUUUGAAGAGUCAUUCUAAGAUUGCAGACUGCCAGGUUAUAUUCAAUACUCUGGACCUAAAUUAUUUGAUACAUUUUGGAAGAACCUGGUAGGUAGUGAGGAGGUGGGUGGGGUAUGGAGUCUUUGUUAGUCAGGAAAGAACAUUCUACUUGGGUUACUAAGGUAUCAGAUUAUUCAGUAAGGUAGACCAUUAAGAGCUAAGUUGCAUGGUGUGCACCUUAGUGCUUUAGGAAAUCAAAGGAAAGAAAUACCAAUGAGGACAGAAAGAGUUCUCCAGAGGAAGUAGACUGCAACUGUAUUUGUGAAGGAUGAGUGGCUGUGGAUGGAAGAAAAGAACAUUUUCAGUAAGGGGACAUGGUGGGUGAAAUGCUGAGGCAGGGAUGGGCUCAGUGUUCCCAGAGCUGUAAGGACCCCAAGAAAAUUUCACUUGUACUCUAUGUGCUUACUAUUUUUGUCUGUCCAGAGUGAAUCAGUUCUCCUAGAGACAGAUUUGACAGUCUGCACACAUUGAGAUCUGUUUCAUUUUAACUUUUCUUCUUGCUUCUCUCAAAUCUGGCUAAAAUACUAUUCUGGUCAUGUCAUUUUCCUGCUUCAGACCCCUCUAUGGCUCCCUGUUGCUCAGUCUCCUGAAGAUUUCAUGCCAGAUCUUUGCAUCCACCCCGCUCCCCCUGCCACCUUGAGCUUCAUUUAACAUCUGGACCCUUCUCACUUCUUGCGUCCCAGCUCCAGCCACCUGGAACUGGCAACUGCCAUACUCUCUCUUGCCUCUGGCCCCUCACAUAAAGCUCAGGUGUUGGUUUAAACAUCACUUCCACAGGAAGACCGGAUUAGGCUCCACUGCUAUUCCUUCUCACCCCUGCAGUGACCCCUUUCUUUUUUUUUUUUUUUUUUUUGUAUAGACAGCCAUUUUCAAGUUCAAACUCAUGAUCUUGGAGACACUUAGAUUUUCUCACAAAUUAUUUGCACAUUUUUAAUAGACUAUUUUUUAGGUAAUUUUACAUUCACAGCAAAGUUGAGGGGAAGGUACAGAGAUCUCACAUAUGCCCCUGCCACUCCCCAUGUUAUCAACACCCCCCACCAUCAACAUCCCCUACCAGAGUGGUACAUUUAAAACAAUUCAUGGACCUACAUGAACAUAUCAUUAUCACUCAAAGUCCAUAGUUUACAUCAGGAUUCAUUCAUAGUCUAUGGGUUUGGACAAAUGUAUAAUGACAUAUAUCUACCAUUAUUGUAUCAUACACAGUAGUUCCACUGCUUAAAAAAAAAAAACUCCUCUAUGCUCCAUCUAUUCAUCACUCACUGUCCCUAAGCACUGGAAACCACUGGUCUUUUUACUAUCUUCAUGGUUUUGCCUUUUCCAGAAUGUCAUAUAGUUGGAAUUAUUAUAGUAUAUAGCCUUUUUAGAUUGGCUUCAUUCACUUAGUAAAAUGCAUUUAACUUUGUUCCACAUCUUUUCAUGGCUUGAUAGCUAUUUUUAGUACUGAAUAAAUAUUUCAUUGUCUGGAUGUCCUCAAGCUUAUUUAUCCAUUCACAUACUGAAGGACACCAUGGUUGCUUCCAAAUUUCGGGAAUUGUGGAUAAAGCUGCCAUAAACAUCUGUAUGCAGGUUUAUGUGUGGACACAUUUUAAUUACUUAAAUAUCUGCCAUCCUCAUGAGACAUAAACUCCUUGCAAUGAAAAACCAUAUUUGACUUGAUCAGUUGUGACCAGCAGAGAACCUGGACCCUAUUCAUUCAUUCAUUCAUUCAAAAAUUUAUAUUAAAUACUUGUCAUGUGCCCUAAUGCAACAGAGAGCAAAACAAACAAAAAUUCUGUCCUCACAUUCUGCCUGGGAAGAUCAACACUAAAAUGAGCCAAAACUAAAAAAUACAGUAUGUAUAUAUUUAUAGUAUAGCAAUAAAUAUGUGGGAGAAAUAUAAAGCAAGGAAGGAGAACAGAAAGUGCCGGGUGCAAGGCGAACUUUAGACAGAGCGGCCAGGGGAGGCCUCACUAAGAGGAUGACAUUUGAACAAAGACCUGGAGGAAGCAAGGACGAGUCAUGCAGAUAGCUGGAGAGGAGCCAUCAGACUGAAGAAACAGCAAGUGCAAAGUCCCUGUCCUGCCGUGUGCCCUGGCACGUUAAGCAGGUCACUUGGGCUGAAGCAGAAAGAGCAAGGAGAGGGGAGUUAGGAAUUGAAGUCAGAAUCCAGGGCAGGCUCCAUCCUGGCCUCACUGUCCACCUUCCAGCAGAUGUGGAUCAGCAAGCGGGAAUACGAGUCCAGCCCCUCCGCUGUCCGCUGCAAAUGCCUCUAGGCAGACUGUUACUUAGUUGCGUUAUACCCUUUCUUGCCAAAACCUAUCUAUGGGCAAAAAACAAGAUUGGCAAGGCUUUUGUUUUGUUUUGUUUUUGGAUUGACUCAGGAUUUAAAAAAACUAGACCGAUGAAGGUGACAGCAGUCAGUUGGAGUGAGCAUCCCCCAAAGUUCUGCAAUGUGUCUGAGGACUUUGAUUAAUCUUUUUUUAAGUCAUUCCAAAUAUCGUGAGAUGCAUUGUUACAGGAAGACGCUUGCCAUCCCCAAAACCACCCCACUUCUCUCUAAGGAGAAUGGCCCAGUCCUCUCCCGAGUCCCACACAUGGGAGGUGAUAGCAGUGCUUUCAAUGUAAAUAAGGUAAUGUAAUUUUUUUAAUCUUCAAUUUAAUACUUUUUUAUUUUGAAUGAUCAGCCAUCGUGGCCCCCCUUUUUUGUCUCCCAACUUGCGAUGUAUGAAUGCUUUUGGUCUCCCUGGGAGGGGGUGGAGGUGUGGAGGCAGCCAGGGCUUACCUGUACACUGACUUAAGACCAGUUGAAUAAAAGUGCAUACCUUAAAAAAAGAAAAAAAGAAUCAGGGGGAAAGGACAGUGGUCAUCACUUAACCAAGUGGUUGGAGAAAGACUGUUGUUUGCUGCUAUGUAAUAUGUGCACUUCAGACUGGAAGAUCCAAAUAGAUGGAUAGACUAGGUUGUGUCCUUUUCUGCUUUAAAGACUAUUUUAAAUGACAGUUUUAAUGAUUUAAAACAAUAAUGGUAACUCAACAUGGAACAAAGCUCAGCUAUCAAAAGUUCAUUAAGUAAAAGGAUCCCAACACAGUCAAGUCUUACCCAGGGAUCCUAUGCAAGAUGCAGAACAUAUGCACAUCUUUUAUUAUUAUUAUACUUUAAGUUCUAGGAUACAUGUGUAGAACGUGCAGGAUUGUUACAUAGCUGUACACGUGCCAUGAUGGUUUGCUGCACCUACCAACCCAUCAUCUACAUUAGGUAUUUCUCCUAAUGCUAUCCCUCCCCUAGCUCCCCACCCCCCGACAGGCCCCAGUGUGUGAUAUUCCCCUCCAUGUGUCCAUGUGUGCUCACUGUUCAACUCCCACUUAUGAUUGAGAACAUGCGGUGUUUGGUUUUCUGUUCUUGUGUUGGUUUGCUGAGCAUGAUGGUUUCCAGCUUCAUCCAUGUCCCUGCAGAGGACAUGAACUCAUUCUUUUUUAUGGCUGGAUAAUAUUCCAUGGUGUAUAUGUGCCACAUUUUCUUUAUCCAGUCUAUGAUUGAUGAGUAUUUGGGUUGGUUCCAAGUCUUUGCUGUUGUGAACUGUGCUGCAAUAAACAUACACAUGCAUGUGUCUUCAUAGUAGAAUGACUUAUAAUCCUUUGGGUAUAUGCCCAGUAAUGGGAUUGCUGGGUCAAAUGGUAUUUCUGGAUCUAGAUCCUUGAGGAAUUGCCACACUGUCUGCCACAAUGGUUGAACUAAUUUACACUCCCACCAACAGUGUAAAAGUGUUCCUGUUUCUCCACAUCCUCUCCAGCAUUUGUUUUCCUGACUUUUUAAUGAUCCAUUCUAACUGGCAUGAGAUGGUAUCUCAUCGUGGUUUUGAUUUGUAUUUCUCUAAUGAUCAGUGAUGAUGAGCUUUUUUUCAUGUGUUUGUUGGCCGCAUAAAUG
rnacentral:lncRNA from 1 species